rnacentral:rRNA from 1 species
UGCCUAGUCCGCCUAUAUACCGCGGUCGCCGCUUACUCUGUGAAGAGUCUGUAGUAAGCACAAUCGGUACUACCCAAAACGUCAGGUCGAGGUGUAGCGUAUGGAAAGGGAAGAAAUGGGCUACAUUCAAUAAUAAUAAUGAAUACGAAUAAUAUCUUGAAACAGAUAAUUGAAGGAGGAUUUAGUAGUAAGCAGGGAAUAGAGCGCCCUGCUGAAACCGGCCCUGAAGCGCGCACACACCGCCCGUCACUCUCCCCAAGCUAAGACAAACUAAUUACUAAUAAAUAACAACUGUAAAGGGGAGGCAAGUCGUAACAUGGUAAGCGUACCGGAAGGUGCGCUUGGAAAAAC